rnacentral:rRNA from 1 species
UCCGUAGGUGAACCUGCGGAAGGAUCAUUAUCGUAUAAACUUGAACAGGCUGUUGCUGGCCCUCUGGGGUGUUGUGCACGCUUGUCUCAUCUUUAUUUCUCCAACUGUGCACAUUUUGUAGAUCCUGGGAGUCUUUAUGAAUUCACAUUCGAGUCGGGACUGCUGUUGCUUUUUCUUUGGAAAGGCCAGCUUUUCCUUGCAAUCUUCCAAGGUCUAUGUUGUUUUUCACAACCUGCUUAGAAUGUAUGUGAUGUUUGUAUAAAAGUGAAAUAUACAACUUUCAGCAACGGAUCUCUUGGCUCUCGCAUCGAUGAAGAACGCAGCGAAAUGCGAUAAGUAAUGUGAAUUGCAGAAUUCAGUGAAUCAUCGAAUCUUUGAACGCAUCUUGCGCUCCUUGGUAUUCCGAGGAGCAUGCCUGUUUGAGUGUCAUUUAACUUAUCAACCACUUCAUGCUUUUAUGGUCUGAACGUGGCUUGGAUGUGGAGGUCUUUGCAGGCUUUUCUGUCUCAGGCAGGAAGGUCAGCUCCUCUGAAAUGUAUCAGUGGCAUCUGAGCUGCUACUAUAGGUGUGAUAACUAUCUAUGCCUUUGGUAUGCUGCGUGAACAGAUUGUGCUGCUUAAAACCCAAAAGAACUUGACAAACUUGACCUCAAAUCAGGUAGGACUACCCGCUGAACUUAAGCAUAUCAAUAAGCGGAGGA